UCCCUUCCGUCCCUUCCGUCCCUUCCCUUCCUUCCGCCAUUUUGCUGUCUUGUAAAUUGAUUUGGCUUUUCACAUAGUGGGAAUUUUUUUCAAGGGGAAACCUAUCUGUGUUUACAUAGUGGAAGGAUGAUACACUGGUCUGGGGACUAUGUUGGCUGUCGUGUCAUGCCUAAAGUGUAGGCCUGUGUAGGUCGUCCCCUCCCUUCAUGGAUAAAACAACUACUAGUUAUCAGUAAGUGCCAGCCUCAUACUACGGCUCCUACCCUGAAGGAGUUCACCGUCCAGUGAGAGAACGGAUAGUGAUCAGACUUCAUUCCUGAGGCUCACCCUUAAUCAACUUGAACGAGGGGCCCCAUAUGUUCCUUUUUACUGGGCCAUGCAAAUUACUGUGGGUUACAUUAAUGCUCAUCUGGAAACCUUUUACCAGUCUCCUCUGUUAGGGUACUGGUUCCCAGCGCAGAGCUUCUGUGAUUACCAGAAGAACACUGAAGGAGUCUUCUUGUCUGUCUGGAGCCAGCUGAGAUGGCCCUGAGAUCCACAGAGCCUCCUCCACGCCCCUGGAUGGAGGCGCUCCUGCUCUUCCACCCUUUGUAUCUCUCACUUGGCACCCAUUCCCGUAAUUAAUCACAAACUCCGUCUGAGCUAUUCCUUUCUAAGCCAUGCCCUCUGUACUCUGACUUGCCCCAAAUAGACAGAUGCUCAAUAAAUAUUUGCUGAUUGGCUGGAAAGCAAACAGAGCUAUCA
rnacentral:lncRNA from 1 species